rnacentral:rRNA from 1 species
AUUGAACGCUGGCGGCAUGCCUUACACAUGCAAGUCGAACGGCAGCACGGGAGCAAUCCUGGUGGCGAGUGGCGAACGGGUGAGUAAAGUAUCGGAACGUGCCCAGUCGUGGGGGAUAACGUAGCGAAAGUUACGCUAAUACCGCAUACGAUCUAUGGAUGAAAGCGGGGGAUCGCAAGACCUCGCGCGAUUGGAGCGGCCGAUAUCAGAUUAGGUAGUUGGUGGGGUAAAGGCCCACCAAGCCGACGAUCUGUAGCUGGUCUGAGAGGACGACCAGCCACACUGGACUGAGACACGGCCCAGCCUCCUACGGGAGGCAGCAGUGGGGAAUUUUGGACAAUGGGCGAAAGCCUGAUCCAGCCAUGCCGCGUGCAGGAUGAAGGCCUUCGGGUUGUAAACUGCUUUUGUACGGAACGAAAAGGACUGCCCUAAUACGGUGGUCCCAUGACGGUACCGUAAGAAUAAGCACCGGCUAACUACGUGCCAGCCGCCGCGGUAA